UACGAAGGGGGCUAGCGUUGCUCGGAAUCACUGGGCGUAAAGGGUGCGUAGGCGGGUCUUUAAGUCAGGGGUGAAAUCCUGGAGCUCAACUCCAGAACUGCCUUUGAUACUGAAGAUCUUGAGUUCGGGAGAGGUGAGUGGAACUGCGAGUGUAGAGGUGAAAUUCGUAGAUAUUCGCAAGAACACCAGUGGCGAAGGCGGCUCACUGGCCCGAUACUGACGCUGAGGCACGAAAGCGUGGGGAGCGAACGAGGAUUGAU
rnacentral:rRNA from 1 species